GACGAACGCUGGCGGCGUGCUUAACACAUGCAAGUCGAACGAUGAAGGAGAGCUUGCUCUCCGGAUUAGUGGCGAACGGGUGAGUAACACGUGACUAACCUGCCCCUUUCUCUGGGAUAACGCUCCGAAAGGAGUGCUAAUACCGGAUACGAACUCUGAACACAUGUUCGGAGUUGGAAAGUUUUUCGGAAAGGGAUGGAGUCGCGGCCUAUCAGCUUGUUGGUGAGGUAACGGCUCACCAAGGCGACGACGGGUAGCCGGCCUGAGAGGGCGACCGGCCACACUGGGACUGAGACACGGCCAGACUCCUACGGGAAGCAGCAGUGGGGAAUAUUGCACAAUGGGCGAAAGCCUGAUGCAGCGACGCCGCGUGAGGGAUGAAGGUCUUCGGAUUGUAAACCUCUUUCAGUAGGGACGAAGCGAAAGUGACGGUACCUAAAGAAGAAGCACCGGCUAACUACGUGCCAGCAGCCGCCGUAA
rnacentral:rRNA from 1 species